UCCCAACGUCUUCCCACCUUUUUCUCCCCUCUCCGUCUUCUCCCCUCCUUCUUCCCCACUGCGGUCUUCCCGCAUCCUCUUCUGCCGUCUCCCUACUGUCUUCUUCCCGCACCUUCUUCUCCCCCGCAGUUUUUUUUCCCCUUCCCCACCGUUUUCUUCCCCUCAGUCUCUCCCAUUCCUCGCAGCACGGGUUCCUGUGGCGGCAGCUUUUCCUUCCAUCUCCUUCUCUCCACCCGCUGGCUUCCAGUCUCCACCUUCCCGCCUAUUCCCCCAGCAGCGUCUUCCCGCCGCUCCCUCUUCUCCCCUCCCCCUCCUCACCGUCUUCUCCCGGCCUAUUACCGCCAACCGUUUUCUUCCUCACCCCGCACCCUUUUCUUCCCAUGUCUGCCUUAGUCUUCUUCCCACCCUCUUCUCCUCUCCCCAUCGCCUUCUUCCCACCCUCUUCUCCUCUCCCAAUCGUCGUCUUUCCCAGCCUCUUCUCCAUUUUCUUGCCGCCUCCAUAUCCCCACCUUCUCGCAGCAGCGUCUUCCUGCCGCGCUUUUCUCUCCCCUCACCAUCUUCUCUUCCUCUUCCCCACCGUCCUCUCCCCACGCCCUCUUCUCCUCACUGUCUUCUCCCCGCGCCUUCCCCACAACCGUUUUGUCCCCCGUUUUCUUCCCCUCACACCGUUUUCUUCCCAUGUCCUCCCACCGUCUCGCAGCAGCGUCUGUCAGUCGCAAUCUUCUUCCCACUUUCUUCUCUCCCCCUCCCAUCGUCUUUUUUCCCCAGCCUCUUAUUCUCCGCCAUCUUCUUCCCCUCCCCACCUUCUCGCAGCAGCGACUUCCUGCCGCGUUUUUCUCUCCCCGCACCCUCUUCUCCCCUCUUCCACUCCCCACCGUCUUCGCCCCCGAUCGUCUUCUUGCCCACCCCCUUCUCGCGCUCUCCAACUGCCUUUCACCUAGAAGCGCUCCACGCGUGCGCCCGCCUGUGUCCCUGCGCCUGGUGUGUCUGUGCGCCCAGCCAGCCCCAUGAGCUGGGCCCCUGAGCUCCGCCCCAACAGCCAACAGGAGACCCAGAAGGUCGUGGGAACAUACAGAGACCUACAGGGAAGACGGCCAUGGGACAAGGGAGGCAGAGUCUGGAGUUACGCUGCCUACAGUCACGGAAUGCCAAGGACAGCUGGAAACCACCAGAAGCUAAGAAGGAGAUUUUACCUGAAAGCCUCUCAAAGAAAUCAAUCAUACUCACACCUCCUUUUUGAAUUUCUGGCCUCGUGAAUGGUGAAAAAAUAAAUUUCUGUCGUCUUAAGCCCCA